AUCGGUGGCGGGAGUCUGUUACGAACUUAAUUUACUUACGACAGUCAAGAACUUCACGUUAGAAGUAAGACGUCCGUGGAAGUCCUUAAGACUUGACUGGAGGGAAACUAUUUGUCAUCAAAUGGAGAUGAACUGACAUAAACUGGUAUAGCAAAAUCAUCUGAUGGGGAGAAGGCUCUUAAGAAAACAGGACAUAACUACUUCAUCACAAUGUAAAUUGCAUUGCUUGUAACAUGACAAAAUAGUGAAGGCCAGCACCUGGAAUGCUAGGAUGGUGUAACUUAUUUUUACUAAAGCAACAAUUCCAGAUGGCUCAUGCAUGUCAUCCACUGUCUUUUUUUUUUAUGAUUGAUAGUGAUUAUACGAGAGAGAGGAACUCUGGUGAUAUCAAGAGAAUGAGGAGAUCCAAGAGGAUCGCGAGAGAGAGGGGAACUCGGGUGAUAUCAAGAGAACGAGGAGAAGAAAGAGGCUCGCGAGAGAGAGAAGAACUUGGAUGAUAUUAAGAGAACAAGAAGAGGCAGGAGGAUCAUGAGAGAGGGGAAUUCUGGUGAUAUCAAGAGAACAAGAAGAGGCAUGAGGAUCGCGAGAGAGAGGAACUCUGGUGAUAUCAAGAGAAUGAGGAGAAGCAAGAGGAUCAGAGAGAGAGAGAGAGAGAGGAACUGUGUGUGUG